CCACACCUGCUUGCGUCUCUCGCCGUGUAUCACACAGUUUUCGAUCACACGCACACGUGCGCGAAUUUCGUUUUUUGUGUGUGGAAGUAUCGCUGCUACAUACAUAUAUAUAUAUAUAUAUAUAUAUGUGUGUGUGUGUGCGUGUGUUUUGAGGGGUGGAAUUGUUUUGUAGUUAGCAGUUUCACAUCUUUUUCUCGUCUUUUCUCCCCACCCACCCACUGUGUUGGUUCGCCCUCCUUUUUUUCUUUAUCAUGUUUGUUCUUGUUUGCUGCACCUCUGCCUUACCCCUCUCCUUCACGCUCUCCUCCUCCUCCUCCCAUCUGCUCAGGCACACGCCCAGUAAGUUAUCGCAGCGGGCACGGCGAACACACGCGCGCACAACUGGAGAACGAACGAGAAAACAGAAAGGCAUCACCUGCAUACAAGAACUGCAGCGACUCCCGGGGCAUCAACGUCAAGGUCGGGGACAAGAGGAAAAAGAAGCGAAGAACGCCCACGACAAGCGCCCGCCGAGGCGGAGAACAGCAGCCCAGCAAAGCGGCGCCGCGGCCGCGGAGGAGGAGAUGGUUGUCAUAGGUAGCUGGUGAUGGAUGUCGGCUACCUAAUCUUCUCUCCACUGUCACUCACUCACACACACACACUCUCUCUCUCGUCGACCCCUCUCCCUUUCUCUGACGCCCUCUCGUGCAUGUGCGCGCUACUGUGGCACACACGCACGCACCCGCUCUCUGCCUCCUCCUUAUUGUUUGUGCUCGGGCAUAACAG
rnacentral:misc_RNA from 1 species